rnacentral:rRNA from 1 species
GAAUGGAUAAACGAGAGUCUACCUGUCUCUAUAAAAUUUAUAAAAAUUAUCCUUUAAGUGAAGAGACUUAAAUUUCUUUAAAAGACAAGAAGACCCUGUAGAGCCUAAACAGACUAUAAACAAUAGCAACAUCUUAAUUUCUUUACCUUUGUUUAAGUUGGGGCGACUAGGGAGUAACAAAAACCUCCCUGCAAUACCGGCCCAUAAGCCAAGCAAAUGAGCCAUUUUUAAUGAUCAUAAAACAAGGCUACCUCAGGGAUAACAGUCUAAUCUUCCUUAAGAGCCCAAAUUGCCAGGAAGGAUUGGCACCUCGAUGUUGGCUUAAGGGCUCUUUUACGCGCAGCCGCGUAAAAAGUAGGUU